CGCUGGCGGCGUGCCUAAUACAUGCAAGUAGAACGCUGAAGAGAGGCGCUUGCUCUUCUUGGAUGAGUUGCGAACGGGUGAGUAACGCGUAGGUAACCUGCCUUGUAGCGGGGGAUAACUAUUGGAAACGAUAGCUAAUACCGCAUAACAAUAGGUGACACAUGUCAUUUAUUUGAAAGGGGCAAUUGCUCCACUACAAGAUGGACCUGCGUUGUAUUAGCUAGUAGGUGAGGUAACGGCUCACCUAGGCGACGAUACAUAGCCGACCUGAGAGGGUGAUCGGCCACACUGGGACUGAGACACGGCCCAGACUCCUACGGGAGGCAGCAGUAGGGAAUCUUCGGCAAUGGGGGCAACCCUGACCGAGCAACGCCGCGUGAGUGAAGAAGGUUUUCGGAUCGUAAAGCUCUGUUGUAAGUCAAGAACGAGUGUGAGAGUGGAAAGUUCACACUGUGACGGUAGCUUACCAGAAAGGGACGGCUAACUACGUGCCAGCAGCCGCGGUAAUACGUAGGUCCCGAGCGUUGUCCGGAUUUAUUGGGCGUAAAGCGAGCGCAGGCGGUUUGAUAAGUCUGAAGUUAAAGGCUGUGGCUCAACCAUAGUUCGCUUUGGAAACUGUCAAACUUGAGUGCAGAAGGGGAGAGUGGAAUUCCAUGUGUAGCGGUGAAAUGCGUAGAUAUAUGGAGGAACACCGGUGGCGAAAGCGGCUCUCUGGUCUGUAACUGACGCUGAGGCUCGAAAGCGUGGGGAGCGAACAGGAUUAGAUACCCUGGUAGUCCACGCCGUAAACGAUGAGUGCUAGGUGUUGGAUCCUUUCCGGGAUUCAGUGCCGCAGCUAACGCAUUAAGCACUCCGCCUGGGGAGUACGACCGCAAGGUUGAAACUCAAAGGAAUUGACGGGGGCCCGCACAAGCGGUGGAGCAUGUGGUUUAAUUCGAAGCAACGCGAAGAACCUUACCAGGUCUUGACAUCCCGAUGCUAUUUCUAGAGAUAGAAAGUUACUUCGGUACAUCGGUGACAGGUGGUGCAUGGUUGUCGUCAGCUCGUGUCGUGAGAUGUUGGGUUAAGUCCCGCAACGAGCGCAACCCCUAUUGUUAGUUGCCAUCAUUCAGUUGGGCACUCUAGCGAGACUGCCGGUAAUAAACCGGAGGAAGGUGGGGAUGACGUCAAAUCAUCAUGCCCCUUAUGACCUGGGCUACACACGUGCUACAAUGGUUGGUACAACGAGUUGCGAGUCGGUGACGGCAAGCUAAUCUCUUAAAGCCAAUCUCAGUUCGGAUUGUAGGCCGCAACUCGCCUACAUGAAGUCGGAAUCGCUAGUAAUCGCGGAUCAGCACGCCGCGGUGAAUACGUUCCCGGGCCUUGUACACACCGCCCGUCACACCACGAGAGUUUGUAACACCCGAAGUCGGUGAGGUAACCUUUUGGAGCCAGCCGCCUAAGGUGGGAUAGAUGAUUGGGG
rnacentral:rRNA from 1 species